UCUGAGGUUGCUGUGGAGACUCCUGAGUGUACUCAACAUGGAAAACAGAAGGAGGAGGAAGAGAAUGGAGAAAGAAAGCAUGAAAACUGAACCUCUCCUCCAUGCCCCUUUCUCAAAGCCACUCCUCCAGGGGUACCCCGUCUUUCUGUGCCUUUAUCAAUGUGUGUGGGCAGUUUUGAUUUACACAUAGAAGACCAUCAAAGUGCAUUGCAGCUUGCUUUUUCACAUAAUGUAAAUACUUCUGGUAUCUGCAUAUAAACACCAGCAUUGACAUUUUUAAUGAUUUUGUAGCAUUUUGAUGUAUGAAUUGCAAUAAUUUCAUUACAGUAAUGUUUUCCCUAAAAAUGGACAUAUCGAUUGUUUUCAACGUCUCCUUUUGC
rnacentral:lncRNA from 1 species